UUGGGUGCGGGGCCCGCAAGGGUUACCAAGCUCAGUCAAACUCCGAAUGCCAUUAACUUCUUGCCGGGAGUCAGACAGUGAGUGCUAAGAUCCAUUGUCAAAAGGGAAACAGCCCAGACCAUCAGCUAAGGUCCCCAAGUGUGUGUUAAGUGGGAAAGGAUGUGGAGUUGCACAGACAACCAGGAUGUUGGCUUAGAAGCAGCCACCAUUGAAAGAGUGCGUAAUAGCUCACUGGUCGAGUGACUCUGCGCCGAAAAUGUAACGGGGCUAAACACACCACCGAAGCUAUGGCUAGAUGCUUUGCAUCUGGGGUAGGGGAGCGUUGUAUGUGGGUUGAAGGUGUACCGUAAGGAGCGCUGGACAGCAUACAAGUGAGAAUGCCGGUAUGAGUAACGAAAAGAUCAGUGAGAAUCUGAUCCGCCGAAAGCCCAAGGUUUCCUGAGGAAGGCUCGUCCGCUCAGGGUAAGUCGGGACCUAAGGCGAGGCCGACAGGCGUAGUCGAAGGACAACAGUUUGAAAUUACUGUACCACCGUAAUCCGCUAUGAGCGAUGGGGUGACGCAGGAGGGUAGUGACGCGGACUGAUGGAUGUCCGUCUAAGCAGUGAGGCUGGUGUGUAGGCAAAUCCGCACAUCGUAAGGCUGGGCUGUGAUGGGGAGCGAAAA
rnacentral:rRNA from 2 species